rnacentral:lncRNA from 12 species
UGUAGGCAUUAUUACCUGAGGCAUCUGCCACCUUCAAAGCUGGUCUCAACUGCUCUUCAGUGUCAGGAAGAUAAUCCUAUGGAAUAUAUGAAGAUUGUCAGUAUACAAUCUAUUGUUUUAAAUAUGUCAGCUUUGAGGCCUCUCUGUGGAAGGUUUGGUUGCAUAGAACUUUUUCGAAGUUUCUUCAAAAAGGCUUUUCAGUGUUCACAACGCAAUGCAUAAGUGGAAUACACUGUUCCCAAAUGACAUCAGCUCUCUGGAAACCUAUAAAAUCUUUCUUGUAUUAAACUGACUUUACACUAUUGCUGUAAAAAAUCAGAAUUUUAUGAAGAUGAAUAGGAAACAUGCAGUUUACAUAAGGCCUGCUUUGGAGCUGCUGUGCAAGCUGUUUACCAUUCAAGUCUGCUCUUUGCCCCCUUGGAUUAUUGUGAUGGUUCAUUUACACUGACAAUGGUACCUGCCACUGAUAAAGAGGUGAGAGUCUGGAUUUGAGGGGAAGCAUUUGAAUAUCAACAAUAUGGUAUUUAUAAAAAUUGUCCCUUGGGGGCAGAGCAUUGCUGCAGAUGAGCAAAACCCAGUUUACUUCUUGUAAUCC